GUACUUCUAUGUAGGGAUGUGUAAUUAUUUCUAAUCUGACUAGAUUUUUUUUUUUUUUUUUGUGUAAGGUCCAAAACUACAUGCAAACUUAACUGAUCAAAAAUUCUUAUUAAAAGCUUUAUUUAAAAUAUUAGUAGGAUCGAUUCAAAAUUAAAAGGACAGUUUUUACAAAUAACACAAAAACAAGAUUUAUUUCUAAAUUAACUAAUUAUUUCCAAAAAUUACACCAUAUUUCAAAAUUAAACUUUCAAA
rnacentral:lncRNA from 1 species